rnacentral:rRNA from 1 species
GAUGAACGCUAGCGGCAGGCUUAACACAUGCAAGUCGAGGGGUAGAAGGAGCUUGCUCCUUUGAGACCGGCGCACGGGUGCGUAACGCGUAUGCAAUCUACCUUUUGCAGAGGGAUAGCCCAGAGAAAUUUGGAUUAAUACCUCAUAGUAUGUGAGGAUGGCAUCAUUUUCACAUUAAAGUCACAACGGCAAAAGAUGAGCAUGCGUCCCAUUAGCUAGUUGGUAAGGUAACGGCUUACCAAGGCUACGAUGGGUAGGGUCCUGAGAGGGAGAUCCCCCACACUGGUACUGAGACACGGACCAGACUCCUAC